rnacentral:rRNA from 1 species
GGGGAAUAUUGCGCAAUGGGGGAAACCCUGACGCAGCAACGCCGCGUGAGCGAUGAAGGCCUUCGGGUCGUAAAGCUCUGUCUUCGCUGACGAUAAUGACGGUAAGCGAGGAGGAAGCCACGGCUAACUACGUGCCAGCAGCCGCGGUAAUACGUAGGUGGCGAGCGUUGUCCGGAAUUACUGGGCGUAAAGGGUGCGUAGGCGGCUCUUUAAGUGAGGUGUGAAAGCCCUGGGCUUAACCCAGGAAUUGCACUUCAAACUGGAGAGCUAGAGUGCAGGAGAGGAAAGUGGAAUUCCCAGUGUAGCGGUGAAAUGCGUAGAGAUUGGGAGGAACACCAGUGGCGAAGGCGACUUUCUGGACUGUAACUGACGCUGAGGCACGAGAGCGUGGGGAGCAAAC